ensembl:lincRNA
GAAACAACGACCACGGAGCUGCUCAAUUUGUCUGGUACAUGGACCCAUGGCUCCUGAGAGGUGGGAAGGGGCUGCCUGCAUCCGUGGGCCCUGAAUCACCACAUAGAGGAAGAUGCCUCUGCUUCUCGAUGUUGGAGGUGGGAAGAAAGCAAGGGCAGGACAAUGCCCUCCAGGAGAUGCCAAUGUGGAUGAAUUUAGCCUGCAGUACAGGUACAUCUAUUUCUGGUGUAUAGAAUGACCUAAGCUCCCCACUUAUUCAUGACUUCAUGCAACUGAUGUUUAUUUUGUGCCUACUAUACCCCAGAACCUCAAGAUGUCUCUGUUCCCCAAUCCACCCCAUCCCUGCCUUUUGUGCUGAUAUCUGUCACCUGCAAAAUAAUUUCCACAAAACAACUACAACCACAAAUUAUAAUUUCUUUGGGACCCCACAUUGCCAUGGAAUGCUAUGAAGCUUCCUCAGGGGCUUCAGUGCAGGGAUGGGGGACAAAGAGGCUGCUGUGGUGUCCAGCAGGAGCU